rnacentral:rRNA from 1 species
GAGUUUGAUCCUGGCUCAGAAUCAACGCUGGCGGCGUGCCUCAGACAUGCAAGUCGAACGCGAAAGAGUCCUUCGGGACUCCGGUAGAGUGGCGUCCGGGUGAGUAACACGUGGGUAAUUUGCCUUCGGGUGGGGAAUAACUUGGGGAAACCCAAGCUAAUACCGCAUAAUGCAGCGGCACCAAAUGGUGACAGUUGUUAAAGCUUUAUGUGCCUGAAGAGAAGCCUGCGGUGGAUUAGGUAGUUGGUAAGGUAAUGGCUUACCAAGCCUGCGAUCCAUAUCCGGUCUUAGAGGACGGUCGGACACACUGACACUGAAUAACGGGUCAGACUCCUACGGGAGGCAGCAGUCGGGAAUUUUGGGCAAUGGGCGAAAGCCUGACCCAGCAACGCCGCGUGAAGGAUGAAGUCCUUCGGGAUGUAAACUUCGGAAGAAUGGGAAGAAUAAAUGACGGUACCAUUUUUAAGCCCCGGCUAACUCCGUGCCAGCAGCCGCGGUAAUACGGAGGGGGCAAGCGUUGUUCGGAUUUACUGGGCGUAAAGGGCGCGUAGGCGGCGCAACAAGUCACUUGUGAAAUCUCCGGGCUUAACUCGGAACUGCCAAGUGAUACUGUCGUGCUAGAGUGCAGAAGGGGCAAUCGGAAUUCUUGGUGUAGCGGUGAAAUGCGUAGAUAUCAAGAGGAACACCAGAGGCGAAGGCGGAUUGCUGGGCUGACACUGACGCUGAGGCGCGAAAGCUAGGGUAGCAAACGGGAUUAGAUACCCCGGUAGUCCUAGCCUUAAACGAUGAAUGUUUGGUGUCUGGAGUUUGAGUCUCCGGGUGCCGUCGCUAACGCUGUUAACAUUCCGCCUGGGGAGUACGCACGCAAGUGUGAAACUCAAAGGAAUUGACGGGGACCUGCACAAGCGGUGGAGCAUGUGGUUUAAUUCGACGCAACGCGAAGAGCCUUACCUAGACUAGAAUGCGAGGGAAGAUUGGGUAACGCCAAUCGUCCGGGAAACCGGACCCAAAGCAAGGUGCUGCAUGGCUGUCGUCAGCUCGUGUCGUGAGAUGUUGGGUUAAGUCCCGCAACGAGCGCAACCC